AGAACGAACGCUGGCGGCAUGCCUAACACAUGCAAGUCGAACGCUUGUCCGGCUUCGGCCGGGCAGGAGUGGCGCACGGGUGAGUAGCGCGUGGGAACCUGCCCUGUUGUGGGGGAUAACCGAGGGAAACUUCGGCUAAUACCGGAUACGCCCUUACGGGGAAAGAUUUAUUGCCGAAGGAACGGCCCGCGUCCGAUUAGCUUGUUGGUGAGGUAACGGCUCACCAAGGCGACGAUCGGUAGCUGGUCUGAGAGGAUGACCAGCCUCACUGGGACUGAGACACGGCCCAGACUCCUACGGGAGGCAGCAGUGGGGAAUAUUGGACAAUGGGCGCAAGCCUGAUCCAGCCAUGCCGCGUGGGUGAUGAAGGCCCUAGGGUUGUAAAGCCCUUUCGGCGGGGAAGAUAAUGACGGUACCGCAGAAGAAGCCCGGCUAACUUCGCGCCAGCAGCCGC
rnacentral:rRNA from 1 species